ACCAAAUAAAACCAAACCACUACAAUGGGCACAGUACUUCACAAGAGCUGAGUCCAUUUUCUCUUCCUACCAAGGGAGCUCCAUCAUGAUUUCACAAUAGUCACCAAUGAGACCAUCAUGAUGACUUCACCAAAGAGAAUCAACUUUCCCCAAACAGACAAACCCCAACCUAUCCACCAGACAGCCUGAAGGAACAUCUAAAGGCAGAGAUCAAAGUGAUGGUGGUAAAACCCACUCAGAACAUUCUGGAGUGGGAAGAAGGCUGAGAGUGAGGUGUUAUGUACUGGGACAAGAGAUAAAUUUGAGGAUUCACCUAAUGGAGCUUUCUGGGGUAAAUGGAAAAGAAGUAAUUUUUGCUGCAAUCCAGAUCAUGUGUUCUGUGAUGGUGUUGGCUCUGGGAAUCAUUUUGGCAUCUGUUCCCUCCAUCCCACAUUUUACCUCAGUGUUUUCUGUCCUGUUAAAAUCUGGAUACCCAUUUGUAGGAGCUUUGUUUGUAAGUAGACUUCUGUGGGGAUGAAGACGGGGAGGACAGAGAAGGGAGUUGUCACCUAGCUGCACUUCUGUCUACUGUGAAAAAGAGGUCGGUGGUAGACCUUGUUCUCCUAUCUGUCAUCAGAGAAGGCCUUAGUGUAAAAGGGCAGCAGUUAUUAAAAUAUCUGGAUAUCUAUGUGGCUAUGAACUAUAUACUCAAUAUCUGUCACUUCUCAGAAAUAUGACUUCAACCUAGGUACUCAAAUGAAUGUAAUAAUAGAAAUCUCAAAAAAAUGCCCCUAAAAUCCCUCCAUAGAAGGAAAAACAAUAGAACAAUAGCUUCUCUCUUUUUUUUUUAUUUCC
rnacentral:sRNA from 1 species